AGUGGGGAAUAUUGCACAAUGGAGGAAACUCUGAUGCAGCGACGCCGCGUGAGUGAAGAAGGUCUUCGGAUCGUAAAACUCUGUCCUUGGUGAAGAAAAAGACGGUAGCCAAGGAGGAAGCCCCGGCUAACUACGUGCCAGCAGCCGCGGUAAUACGUAGGGGGCGAGCGUUGUCCGGAUUUACUGGGCGUAAAGGGUGAGUAGGCGGUUGUAUAUGUCAGGUGUAAAAGGCUAUGGCUUAACCAUGGUUAGCACUUGAAACUGUACAACUUGAGUGCAGGAGAGGUAAGUGGAAUUCCUAGUGUAGCGGUGAAAUGCGUAGAUAUUAGGAGGAACACCAGUGGCGAAGGCGACUUACUGGACUGUAACUGACGCUGAGUCACGAAAGCGUGGGUAGCAAACAGGAUUAGAUACCCUGGUAGUCCACGCUGUAAACGAUGAGUGCUAGGUGUUGGGUAGCGAUACUCAGUGCCGCAGUAAACACAAUAAGCACUCCGCCUGGGGAGUACGGUCGCAAGACUG
rnacentral:rRNA from 1 species